AAAGAAUUAGUUAAAAUAACAUAAAUAUGUCAUAUUUAAAUUACUAUAUUUAUAGUAUUCUUUU
rnacentral:tRNA from 2 species